rnacentral:rRNA from 1 species
CCUACGGGUGGCUGCAGUGGGGAAUAUUGGGGGGGGGGGGGGGGGGGGGUGGGGUAAUGGAGUGUGUGUGUAGAAGGCCCUCGGGUUGUAAAGCACUUUCAGUGAGGAAGAACGCCUGGUGGUUAAUACCCAUCAGGAAAGACAUCACUCACAGAAGAAGCACCGGCUAACUCCGUGCCAGCAGCCGCGGUAAUACGGAGGGUGCGAGCGUUAAUCGGAAUUACUGGGCGUAAAGCGCGCGUAGGUGGCUUGAUAAGCCGGUUGUGAAAGCCCCGGGCUCAACCUGGGAACGGCAUCCGGAACUGUAAAGCUAGAGUGCAGGAGAGGAAGGUAGAAUUCCCGGUGUAGCGGUGAAAUGCGUAGAGAUAGGGAGGAAUACCAGUGGCGAAGGCGGCCUUCUGGCCUGAAACUGACACUGAGGUGCGAAAGCGUGGGUAGCAAACAGGAUUAGAUACCCCAGUAGUC